rnacentral:rRNA from 1 species
AGGCUCGUCAAUCGAAAUGAGUACAAUUUAAAUCCUUUAACGAGUACCAAUUGGAGGGCAAGUCUGGUGCCAGCAGCCGCGGUAAUUCCAGCUCCAAUAGCGAAUAUUAAAUUUGUUGCAGUUAAAAAGCUCGUAGUUGGAUCCAAGGUUAGGCAUGCCUGUCUGUUCUUAGUAGCAUGACUGUGUGUGUCUGCCUUUAUUAGUUGAAUGUUCAUUAUGGUGGUCUUCAUCGACUGCUAUGAUGUGCUCAACACGUUUACCUUGAAAAAAUCAGAGCGAUCAAGGCAGGCCUUCGUGCUUGUAUGUUGUUGCAAGGAAUAAUAGAAUAGGACUUCGGUUCUAUUUUGUUGGUUUUGAGAAUUGAAGUAAUGAACAAUAGAGACAGUCGGGGGCAUUUGUAUGGUGGCGUUAGAGGUGAAAUUCUGAGAUCGUCGCCAGACAAACUACUGCGAAAGCAUUUGCCAAGGAUGUCUUCAUUAAUCAAGAACGAAAGUCAGAGGUUCGAAGACGAUCAGAUACCGUCCUAGUUCUGACCAUAAACGAUGCCGACCUACAAUCGGGGGUGGUUUAUUAUAUUGACCCUCCCGGCUGUCCUCAGGAAACUUUAAGUUGGUUCUGGGGGGAAUAUGGUCUCAAGACUGAAACUUAAAGGAAUUGACGGAAGGGCACCACCAGGAGUGGAGCCUGCGGCUUAAUUUGACCCAACACGGGGAAUCUCACCCGGUCCGGACACUGGUAGGAUGGACAGAUUGAUAGCUCUUUCUUGAUUCAGUGGGUGGUGGUGCAUGGCCGUUCUUAGUUGGUGGAGUGAUUUGUCUGGUUAAUUCCGAUAACGAACGAGACUCUGUCCUGCUAAAUAGUCCAGUGGCAUCAAUCACUAUGUGAUUACAGCUGCUGUUACUUCUUAGAGGGAUUCGCGGAUUUAAACCGCAAGAAAUAGAGCAAUAACAGGUCUGUGAUGCCCUUAGAUGUCCGGGGCCGCACGCGCGCUACAUUGACAGUAGAAGCGAGUAUUUCUACCUGGUUCGAAAGAAUUGGGAAAUCUUCGAAUUACUGUCUCCACAGGGAUUGAGGUUUGCAAUUUUGCCUCAUGAACGAGGAAUUCCCAGUAGGCGCAAGUCAUCAGCUUGCGUCGAUUAUGUCCCUGCCCUUUGUACACACCGCCCGUCGCUACUACCGAUUGAGUGCAUUAGUGAGGACCUCGGAUUGAGAACAUAGUGGCGCAAGUUACUUUGUUUUCGAAAAGUGGUUCAAAUUUGUGCAUUUAGAGAUAGUAAAAGUCGU